AUCUAGCUGACGAGUUCCAAGUAGGACGAAACGCGCGUCCUGGAU
rnacentral:hammerhead_ribozyme from 1 species